rnacentral:ncRNA from 1 species
AGGUUCGCACAACGCGAUUAAAAAGGGAAUGGAGUGCAAGUCUCCAACUGUCCCGCAGCUGUGAGUUCCAUUUACGCUUCAAACAAGAGGCCACUGCCCUACCAGGCGGGAAGGUGUUUGAAGAGGAAUUUAGUCAGAAGACCUGCCUUUACCAUUU